CUAUCUGGAAUAGUGAAGUUUUACCCGUAUGGGCCCAAUGCAGACUUUUCGUAAUCAAAUAGUGUAUGUGUGUGUGUGUCUGAUUUUUUAAUGUGCGCACUAAAAAAAUAUAUCUAUAAUCUAUAUCUAGUAAUAUUUAAUCACACAUAUAAUCUAAAGUUAAAGGAGAACAUAUUUGUUUUUUUUUUGUUGUUUUUUUUUUAGAUUUAGAUUUUAAAGAAAAAGUUUUAUACAUUUUAACAUUUUUUUCGACCAAUGAAAAAGAAGCAUUUAUUUCUUUUAAGCUCGCGAUAUUCGGCACAAACUGGAUUAUUCAGUCUUCACUCUAGAACGUACACACGUGGAUCAAAUUAGAGCUAGCUAGAUCUAGAUCUAAAUCUAGUUGAAGAUAUCUACUUGGUAGUCUAAACCUCAAAGGAGCUUAGGGAAGUGAUGGCAGUUGCAGGGUAUGAACCAGACGACCAUGCAGAGACCAAUGAGGCGACCAAACAGUCCAUCGUGCAUACCAUAUAACCAGGUCCAGAAUGUCAGUUUUCUUUAAGGGCAGCUGACAAUAAGAAUUGUCUAUGUAUGCACUACAGAUGCUGUUCAAUAUCUUUUCAUGAGGAAGCCUGCUCAAAAAGAUCGCCACAUUUUCUUUAGGGGAAGUUGACAUUAAUCUUUUAGGUUAUUAAUAACCUAUGCAUGCAGUACAGAUGCUGUUCAUCAUCUUUUCAUAAGCAAGCCUGCUCAAGAAGCUGCUGCAUGGAAGUCAAAUAUGAAUUAUUGCCACCAGUCUUGAAGUCAGCUUGUAAAGAAUGCUAAGAAUUGAAUGAAAAUGCUGUCUUGAUAUCUUGUUUGCGCUGUUAUAUUUGUCUUUUGUGUUGGUUAAUUAUUCCAUGAAUAAAAAAUAAAAAAAAGUUAAUUGUGUAAGUUUGAUUUAAGAAUAAAUGAUCAGAGCAUGCAAGUCUUAUAUAGUACGUUACCAAAAAUUGUAUUGUUUGCUAGUGUUCAAACCCAAAAAUGUAAUUUAACUUGUUCAUUACUUUAUAAAUAUGUUGACAUUAUAGCUAGAUGUAUAUAGAAAUCAUGCACUGAUUCAAUUAUUAUAAUUUCCAAACAAUUAUGUCAAAUAAUUCUAUUGCUAGAUCUAAAUCAUCAGUGUGAAAUUAGACCUAUGUAAAAGGUUAAAAAUCUCAUACUAAACCAUUGAGCUGCAUUUGAACAAAAAGGGCAUUAUAAACAAAAAAUCACUAAUGAAUUUGUUUUAAAUUACAGUAUUGAAAAACAUUAAAGAUUAUUCCUAAUUAAGCCAUAAUAAAAUUUAAUGACUGAACCAUCGGAGACAGUAUUUGCAUGAUAAUACAUAAUUUAGCCCUAAUAAAUAUUUCAGUUACUAAACCAUUAGGGCCAGAAUUGGACCGAUAAUGGCACAAUAAGGGUUAUCCCUAAUUGAACCCUAAUAAAUAUUUCAGUUACUAAACCAUUCAGGCCAGCAUCGGACCGAUAUUGGCACAAUAAGGGUUAUCCCUAAUUGAACCCUAAUUAAUAUUUCAAUUACUAAACCAUUAGGGCCAGCAUCGGACCGAUAUUGGCACAAUAAGGGUUAUCCCUAAUUGAACCCCAAUGAAAAUCUCAGUUACUAAACCAUUGGGGCUAGUAUGGGCUUGAUUAGGGCGCGAUUCUGGAAAUCCCCAAUGAAUCCGGAAGUGGGUUUACCCAUUCUGGGCCGAUAUUGGCACGAUUAGGGUUGCCCGUCUUGGUCCCUAAUGGGAACCUAAUGACGCCAAUGUGCAAACGGUAUGCGCACCCAUUAGGGGCCAAUUUGGGCUAUUUAGGGCUGCAAUUAGGGCAAAGGGGGAUAACCCUAAUUAAAACUGAUACUGGGCCGUAAUGGGCAUGUU